AACACAUGACAUAAUAAAUUUACAUUCAGCAGAUUAAAUUAUUUUAGGCUGCUUAUUAGUAUUAAGAGUUAAUUAUUGAUCUAUUAUUAAUCUUAAAGGAAACGCCAUUAUCUUUGUUUACAUAGUAGUUUUUUCUGUAUUUUAAUUUAAAAGCGAAAAAUGAGUGUGAAAUAUCACAACUUAAAAAUCCUUAUAAUAUCUCUAUUAAAAAUUAAAAUAUUGAAAAAAAUCUGAUAGAUAGGACUGUGGUACGUCAAUACGCUCUUUUCUUUUUGUAUGAAAAUAGGUCAAUUCACUCUAAUAUUCAAACUAAAAGCACUAAAUUGCUUCUGCUAGAUACAAAUUUUUAUAUGGUACGUUUGUAAGACAAGAGAUAACAAAAGACGAACAUACUUCGUACAUGGGUGGGCUAUUGUUGUAGGUGAGAAGUUGGAAGGUAGUAGAGAAAACAAUUUAAAGUACCUAUAUUUGUUCGUAACGAUUAACUAUUGCUAACGUAAAAUCGAU